rnacentral:rRNA from 1 species
AGAGUUUGAUCCUGGCUCAGGAUGAACGCUGGCGGCGUGCCUAACACAUGCAAGUCGAACGAAGCACCUUACCUGAUUCUUCGGAUGAAGGUCUGGUGACUGAGUGGCGGACGGGUGAGUAACGCGUGGGUAACCUGCCCUGUACAGGGGGAUAACAGUUGGAAACGGCUGCUAAUACCGCAUAAGCGCACGAGAGGACAUCCUCUUGUGUGAAAAACUCCGGUGGUACAGGAUGGGCCCGCGUCUGAUUAGCUGGUUGGCAGGGUAACGGCCUACCAAGGCGACGAUCAGUAGCCGGUCUGAGAGGAUGAACGGCCACAUUGGAACUGAGACACGGUCCAAACUCCUACGGGAGGCAGCAGUGGGGAAUAUUGCACAAUGGGGGAAACCCUGAUGCAGCAACGCCGCGUGAGUGAAGAAGUAUUUCGGUAUGUAAAGCUCUAUCAGCAGGGAAGAUAAUGACGGUACCUGACUAAGAAGCUCCGGCUAAAUACGUGCCAGCAGCCGCGGUAAUACGUAUGGAGCAAGCGUUAUCCGGAUUUACUGGGUGUAAAGGGAGCGCAGGCGGUGCGGCAAGUCAGAUGUGAAAACCCGGGGCUCAACCCCGGGAUUGCAUUUGAAACUGUCGGACUAGAGUGCCGGAGAGGUAAGUGGAAUUCCUAGUGUAGCGGUGAAAUGCGUAGAUAUUAGGAGGAACACCAGUGGCGAAGGCGGCUUACUGGACGGUAACUGACGCUGAGGCUCGAAAGCGUGGGGAGCAAAACAGGAUUAGAUACCCUGGUAGUCCACGCCGUAAACGAUGA